GCAGUGGUGGUUCAGUGAUAGAAUUCUUGUCUCCCAUGCAGGAGACCCAGAUUUGAUUCUCAGCCACUGCA
rnacentral:tRNA from 1 species